rnacentral:rRNA from 1 species
UACAGAGGUCUCAAGCGUUGUUCGGAUUCAUUGGGCGUAAAGGGUGCGUAGGUGGCGCCGUAAGUCGGGUGUGAAAUUUCGGAGCUUAACUCCGAAACUGCAUUCGAUACUGCGGUGCUUGAGGACUGGAGAGGAGACUGGAAUUCAUGGUGUAGCGGUGGAAUGCGCAGAUAUCAGGAGGAACACCAAUGGCGAAGGCAGCUCUCUGGUACGUGACUGACACUGAGACGCGAAAGCGUGGGGAGCGAACAGG